rnacentral:lncRNA from 1 species
GCAACAAGACUUAAAAUUAAUUGUAAUAUAUGAGAGGUCUGUUACUGUAUUUACAACUUGCAUUCGAAGCACAAAAUAUUCAAAAUGCGAUAAUUAUCAACAAUUACAUCACACGACUGUCGUGACUAAAAUGAACUCAUAUCCAUAUCCAUAUCUUCAUAUUAACAGAGGGUUAGCAGCAAAUACACAUUGUUCUCAAAGCUUAUAAUUAAAUCUCAAAACUAGUUACAUCUCAAAGUUUACAAUUAGAGUUUCUUAAUUAUAUUUUGUAAGGAACCUCACGUAAUUAGGCACUCUCCAAUAAGAUAUAUUUAUCUAAUCUAGUAUCUAAAUCUAAAACACAGAAGAUAAAUUUUCAGCCUGCACCUGACUAGCAACUAUAGCCUCGAUAUUCCAGGAGUUCCACUUUUGGCUUCAAAUUUAACAACCUGACCAAUUAAUGACUAGCUCUGUAAGUUACAUCCACACAAGACAAUAACAGUCUUUUCUCAUCACUCAUUACUACACACGAUUGUAUUUUUCUAUUAAAUUCAUAUCUAACUGUCAUAAUAUACAAAUCAACAGUCGAACAACAUUAAACUUGACAUGGAAGAAACAUGAUUCACAUUUCACAUACUAUCAAUCCAAAAUGAACAUAUUCUCAUUUGAUUCUAGUGAUGAACAUAAUUAGAAGAGUGAUCAAUACCUGGACAUCAGUAGUAAGACUUUAAAAUAGCCAAAUAAAAGCCAGAAAUAACUUCAAAUUGGUGUUCAGCUACUAAUUGAAGGAGAGACAACAACAAACAACAGAAAUUCCCAGCUGAAACCACUUCAAAACCCAGAAAUAUAAAGGAAAUUAUUUUUGAAACCACAAAACCAACUACAGCUUUUUUUGAAUUAUUUUGAAUGUCAAAAUCAAUCUAGAACUCUGUUGCUUUUUUUUUUUAGUUUUCAAAGCUUUUAUUUUUGGCUUUUCAGGUCCAAAUUUUGGGAUUUUUUUUUGAAUUUCAAAAAUGUUUUCAAAUGCUUCUAGGUGUAUACAAAUGAGUGAAAGUGAGGUGAGAGCGAGAGUGAAAUGAGUGUGAAUGAAUGAGAUUCCCCUCAAAUGUGUGAGGGGAGGUGCUCUUUUAUAACUGACUUUCCAACAUUUUUUUUCCAGUUAUUUUCUUUUCCUUUUGCUCCUUUUCUUUUUCUGUUUUAUUCCCUCAUCCCAAAGCCCUUUUUUUCUCUUUUAUUGCUACUUAAUCCUUUCUCAUCUCCUAGAAACUUCUAAAAUCAACUACAAAAUAGAUUCUUCUAACUUUUUCUUCACUUUAGCACCCAUAGACUUCUAGUAAUUACACUACCAAAUAGUCGAACCUCUUGGUCAAAUAAGCCCACGAAUUCUCUCCCAACCCACUGACCACACCUAAUGGACAUGCCUUGUCCAAAAGAAACAAGCCCAAUUUCCUUUUAACUAAAUCAAAACUAACCAAACAAAGAAAUCAACCAAUUUAUGCUUUAAUUAAAACAGUAAUUCGACUAAGGCAAAUUGAUUUAACUAAUAUGCAAUUAAUUACCAAUCUAGAUCAGAAAAAUAUAAUGUUAAACUUAGCUAAUUAAACAAAUUAGUUACUAGACCAAUUUCAAAAAUAAAAGAAAGUGAAACACGAAGGGGAAAAGAGGAUGCGGGAUUUGGGAAUUUCACCUUGCAAAUGCUCAAAUGAGGGUCGAGCACAGUUGAAUUUCAAGACAGCAAAAGUUAUAGGAGAAAUUGGAGCUCUGGUUAGUCGACGACGAUCUAGCCGGAUUCUGAUAUCUUCCAAAUGAAUUGAAACUAAUGUUAAUCGAGUGUUCUCAACGAGAAAAAUCGAUCAACGCAAGUCCCAGGUCAAAUCGAGUCUUGAAACUACUGGAAAAAAAAAUCAAAAGGGGCAGACUAGGUUUUUGGGUAUUUCCUAGAUCUACUAAACGUGACGAUUGGUGGGUUUUUUGGAGAAAACAAUAGCAGGGAUCAGGAGAGGCAGGGGAUUAUAGGGUGAUGUCUUAGGGUCAUAUGGUGAAGGGCCACCGCCGUGGACGAUUUUCGACCGUGGCAGAUCGGCGGAGCAGCAGUGAGGAUAAGAGAAUAGGUAUGAGAGGUCUUUUGGGGGUAGGGGUCAGGCAUUUGGACAGUUUUAAGGGUAGUGAAGGGCCACUUUCGAGCCGUCUGAUCAAAAUCAG